CCUACGGGUGGCAGUAGUGGGGAAUAUUGCACAAUGGACGAACGCCUGAUGCAGCAACGCCGCGUGAAUGAAGAAGGGUUUCGGCUCGUAAACUUCUAUCAUCAGGGACGAAAGAAAUGAUGGUACCUGAAUAAGAAGCCCCGGCUAACUACGUGCCAGCAGCCGCGGUAAUACGUAGGGGGCAAGCGUUAUCCGGAAUGACUGUGUGUAAAGGGUGCGUAGGGGGCAUGGCAAGUUGGAUGUGAAACCCUUGGGCUUAACCCGGGAAUGUCAGUUGGAACUAUCAGACUUGAGUACAGGAGAGGAAAACGGAAUUGCUAGUGUAGCGGUGAAAUGCGUAGAUAUUAGGAAGAACACCAGUGGCGAAGGCGACUUGCUGGACUGAAACUGACGCUGAGGCACGAAAGCGUGGGGAGCGAACAGGAUUAGAUACCCGAGUAGUC
rnacentral:rRNA from 1 species